GACGAACGCUGGCGGCGUGCCUAAUACAUGCAAGUAGGACGCAGUUGCGAACGGGUGAGUAACGCGUAGGUAACUGCCUCUUAGAGGGGGAUAACUAUUGGAAACGAUAGCUAUUACCGCAUACUAGUAGAUGGACCUGCGUUGUAUUAGCUAGUAGGUAGGGUAAUGGCCUACCUAGGCGACGAUACAUAGCCGACCCGAGAGGGGGAUCGGCCACAAUGGGACUGAGAAAAGGCCCAGAAUCCUACGGGAGGCAGCAAGAGGGAAUCUUCGGCAAUUGGGGGAAACCUGGACGCGGAACUGCGCGGGAGUGGAGAAGGUUUUCGGGUCGUAAAGCUCUGUUGUUAAGGAAGCGGUACUUAACCAGAAAGCGACGGCUAACUACGUGCCAGCAGCCGCGGUAAUAC
rnacentral:rRNA from 1 species